GACUGGAUUUCCCAUUUAAAUGUAAAUGGCCACAUGUGGUGGCCAGUGGCGACUUGCCGGACAGCAUGGAUCCGUAACAUUUCCAGCACUUGGCCAGGCCCCUUCCGGGCGCUCCCAGUCCAUCUCCCGUAUCCCAGACAAUCAAGCCUCCAAAAUCAGCCAAGGACAGAGGACGACAAACUUCAGCCAUGGGCCAGAUCUGGUCCCUGGUCCAUUUUUUGUGCAGUCCACAGAUAUUUUUUCCCCUCUCCUGGGUCUUCAUGUGGAGGUGAGUGCUGCCAGCCUGGACCUGUCUGAACAAUCAUCACCACUUCGGGCAGUUUUACUAGCACUUUCCAGCGCUGCCAAGGCUUGAGGCCAAGUUGGUUGGCCUAGCCUCACGUGGACAAGCUGUUCUCCCCGGAUGCACCUCACCGACUGGGUGUUUCCUCCUGGUCUAGACACGCAGCCCUGGAGCCAGCAGAUGCUAGAACCAAGGUCCCAGCACAGACCUACCCCCCCACACACUUAUUUCAGAAUCAGAACUCCAAACUAACAGGAAUGGGGCUGCCAUGGGGCUGAACUGUGUCCUCCCCAAACUUUACAUGUUGAAGUCCUAACCCCCAGUCUUCAGAAUGGGUCUGUUUUUGGAGUUGGGGCCUUUAAACGGGUGAUUAAGUUAAAUGAGGUGAGAUGGGUGGACCCCACUCCAUUAUGAGGAGGGGAGAUUAGGACGCAGGCAUGUACAGAGGGACGACUAUAAAUAUACUGGCGAGGCAUGGAGAGAAGAUGCCAGCAUUCUUCACUGUGGUAAAAUACACGUAACAUAAAAUGUGUUUAAACCAUGUUAGAUGUACAGUGCAGUGGCAUUAAGUACCCUCACAAUGUUGUACCACUAUCUCCACUAUCUAUUUCCAGAACUUUUUCAUCAUCCCUAACAGAA